AGCAGCCGCGGUAAUUCCAGCUCCAAUAGCGUAUAUUAAAGUUGUUGCAGUUAAAAAGCUCGUAGUUGAAUUUCGGGAUUGGCGUGUCGGUCGUGCCUUACGGGGUAUGAACUGGCGUCGUCGAUUUCUCACCUUCUGGAGAAUCACGAUGCCCUUAAUUGGGUGUCGUGUGGAACCAGGACCUUUACCUUGAAAAAUUAGAGUGUUUAAAGCAGGCAUUUUUGCUCGAAUACAUUAGCAUGGAAUAAUAAAAUAGGACGGUUUGGUUCUAUUUUGUUGGUUUCUAGGAUCACCGUAAUGAUUAAUAGGGAUAGUUGGGGGCAUUAGUAUUCAAUUGUCAGAGGUGAAAUUCUUGGAUUUAUUGAAGACUAACUACUGCGAAAGCAUUUGCCAAGGAUGUUUUCAUUAAUCAAGAACGAAAGUUAGGGGAUCGAAGACGAUCAGAUACCGUCGUAGUCUUAACCAUAAACUAUGCCGACUAGGAAUCAGACGAUGUAAUUUUUAAUGACUCGUUUGGCAC
rnacentral:rRNA from 1 species